CUAGGGGGAGGGGUGUUUGCUUUUUAUUGGACAGAGCCACAGGAUCCUAUGAAGAAUAACCUCAGAAGGACAGGGGAACUUAGCAGAAGGAGAUUCUGGGCUCUCAUAAAGAUAUUCAGAGAAAAUGGCCCAGUAUCUGGAGGAGGAACGUCGCAUGAGGGAAGAGAACUUGCGGCUGCAGAGGAAGCUGCAGAGGGAAAUGGAGAGAAGAGAAGCCCUCUGUCGACAGCUCUCCGAGAGCGAGUCCAGGUUAAUAAUGGAUGAUAAAAGGUAUUUUAACGAGAUGUCUGCACAAAGAUUAAGACCCCGUACUGUGUCCAGCCCAAUCCCUUACACACUGCCAAGUUCAAGUAGGUCUAUAUCACGAGAGGCCUUCACCACGGAGAAGCAACAGUCCUGACAAAUUCAAAGGGCCCACACCGCCUCCGUCUCCCAACACACAGACCCCAGUCCCGCCGCCUCCGCCUCCACCUCCGCCACCCAUGCAGCCCGCGAUCCCCUCGGCAGGCACCUCGCAGCCUGCCCCUUCGCAACAUUCGGUGCACCCCUCCUCCCAGCCUUAAUGCAUGUGCUUAGUCUGAAUUUCAAGUUGGGACUCGUCCAUUGGAGCCGUCUACUCCAACGCCAAAGGCUUCCUUCCCUGGCAUAUUUGGAUCUGACUUAUUUGCACUGAGGUUAUCUAGGCUUCACUAUUCAUUGUGUUGUUGGAAACGCAGCCAGUGUUGUGGGUCUACAACACUACGACUUUACAUCCGUGUUUUACUUGAAUCUAUAUGUAUGUCCAUUCCCUGGCUGUAACAUUGGCUAUUUGGUAUUUGGUAAUACAGCAGCAGUGUGCAAUUUUUGCUUGGCCCCAGAUCUUCAUUUCCAUUUUAUUUUACAGGCCAGCUUUGGCAACUUAGUGGGACCCUGGCUUCUGUAAAAUAAAAAGGAUAUAUAUUGUAUUUUUUUCCAUGAAUUUGCAGAAAAUUACUGAACUGUUAUUACCCGUUGUCCAAUUAUUAUUGUGUUUACCAAAUCAACCAAGAAUGUAGCACUACAGUUCACACCUUUGAAAAUCUGACUUUCAGUGUAGAGUGGAAAGUUAGAAGAAUCAGUGCCCAAGACACACACUGUUUAAGUAGAGCUUUCUACAGGUACACUUUUUGUAGGUUAUUUCUAAUGUAAUUCGACUUCCAUGUCUUUUAAAAUGGAUUAAGGAAGGAAUCACAUGAUUAUAUCUUCUCCACAAAUGUAGGAUGGAUAAUUCUUGCAUUUUAAGAUGUGAUUCUUCCCUUUAUCCUUAAUGCUAAUCUACCUAAACUGGCUCCUCUAACAUGAGUCUAACAUGAGUGUCAGUGGGUGGUUUCAGUGGCUGAUUAGAAUAUGCUCUUUGAUUCCUACUGUGGAGGGCAAGGUGAUUGUAACCCAAUCAGUGUGAUUUCCCCUCCCAUUCUUUAUUUGUGUUCUCCUGAGAUAGAAUUUGAACAAUUACUUUAAAGGUAGAAAAUACUAUUAAAAAAUACUGACAUUAGAGGACUAUCUUGGUAUAAUGGGCACAAAAUACCAUAUUGCUUGGCAGAAAAAAAAAAAAAAAAGAUGUGUAGAGGAAAGUGGUACGUUAGCACUGAGGACUGCUUAUUUUGCCCAGUAUAAGCAAGUACGGUGUACAAAGACAUAUAUUCUGAAUACAUUAUUUCUAUUCAUUUAGCACAAAUAAACCAUUUGGUUUUACUUUGAUGUGAAACAUGGAGUCACUCUUAAUGUUUGCUCCAUCUUUCUUUUCUUUUUAUUUUUCAACAAUUAUGAUUUGUACUUUGGUAGUAAAGUACUUUUUACCAACUGUGUUUGCAUAUUUAUAUAUGCUGUGGAUAAAAAUAGCUUACUAGAUAAUAUGUAUCAUAAGAAUAUGUAUCUGUUAGAUAUAAUCAGAGAACUGAAUAUUAAUUUAUCAGGAAUUUUUAAGAGUUCAUGUUUUGUAGUGCAACCAAUAUGGAAAUCAAUAUCUAGGUGCCUCAAAAAACUAGGCAUGGAACCACCAUAUGACCAAGUUAUACGACUCCUCAUUAUUUAUACUGAAGAACUAAAGGCAUUUUAUGACUGUGAUACAUACAUACCCUUGUUUAAAGCAGCACAAUUCAAAAGAACUAAACUAUGAAGUCAACCUAGGUGUCCAUCAGCAGAUGAGUGGAUAAAUAAAAUGUGGUAUACAUGCACAAUGGAGUGUUAUUCAGUCACAAAGAAACAUGAAAUUAUGUCAUUUGCAGGAAAAUGGAUGGAACUUGAGACCAUCAUGUUAAGUGAAAUAAGCUAAGCUUGGGUGGUUAAGGACUGUACGUUUUCUCUCAUAUGUGGAAGCUAUAAAUAAAAAGGAAAAGAAAAGUAAGGGGUUCAGGGAUAUUAUGAAAAUAAAAGGGAGAUCUGCAGAGGAAAGGGACCAAGGAGUGGGGAGUGGGGUGGGGAGUGAUGGGGUGUGAUAUUGGCCAAAUUGUAUUGUUAUAUUUUGUGCAUGUAUGAACAUGUAACAAAAAAUCCCAUAAUUAUGUAUGACUAUAAUAUACCAAUAAAACUAUAUGGAAAGAAAAAAAAGAGUUCAUGUUUUGUGACAUCUAUCAUGCCUAACUCAUUAUUGAACACACUCCUAAAAAUAAGAACCAUUAUGUUGUUGAUAUUUAAUAUUAUACAGUAGAAACUUCCAUUUUCCCUUUGAAGGUAUUUUUAAGAGUUAAUAGGCCAGGAGUGGUGGUGCACAUCUGUAAUCCAAGUGACUCAGGAAACUAAGGCAGGAGGAUAGCAAGUUCAAAGCCAGACUCAGCAACUGAACAAAGCUCUAAGCAACACAGCCAGACCCUGUCUCAAAAUAGAAAUAAAAAGGGGCUAGAGUUAUGGCUCAGUGGUUAAAUGCCCCUGGUUUCAAUCCCUGAUUACCCACCCCUCCCAAAAAAGAGUUAACAGAAUGAAAAAAGUGUUAUUGGACAAUAGUGUUUGACUAGCACUUUAAGUAUUGAAGAAUAAAAGCAACAAAAUUAUUUUUUCUCCUCUUCCUUCUUCUAUCCCCAAACUGAGAAUAUCAUCCCCAAUUAUUAGAAAGAAAUAAUCGAUCUAUAAUAAUUUAAUUUAUAAUGACUAUAUAAUAUACAUUAUUAUAGUGCAUUUCUCAAAUAUGGGAGAAAGUUUGGCAUUUAUUAUUGAGGCAUUAUGUUUUUAAUAUGACCAGACUGGGCCAUGUCAAACUGGAAGGUAGAAGCCCCCUCACCUGUGGGAAAUGGACUUACCUAGGCUGGGCACUUCACAGGGGGCUGAAUGUGCUUCUGGCUAUUUUGUUGCCCACUCAGAUAUGCUAAUCUGCUUUUGGUCCCUGCUGGUGGAGGGAGCAACAGCAGCUUCAGUAGCUUUAUUUCCUGUCUUGCUGACAGAGACCCUUGGCUACCACUGUGCUGCUAAUAGAAUAAGUACUCUGUUGCCGGAUUACCAUGCCUUUUCUACAAAACCAAAUUAACCUACCUAAUACCUGACAACUCUGGGCUCUGAAACAGAAUUCUUGGAAUUUGGCACAUGGUGGAAAUGUUUAAGAUUGAGUUUCACUUACUCAUUUGAUUGGAAGGAGUUUUCAGUUCUGAGCUCCUCAGAUUCUGAGUAGCAACUAUGGAAUGAAUGUGACCAGAAUGUGGCUUUGACACCAUUUGCUGCUGUGCCUUGUGACUGGCUUCUAACUGAUUCAACCAGAAAUAACCUAUAAAGUGAAUUGUUAACUGUUCAAUUGUAGGGAAAAAAAUGUGCAUCACCCUUUGUUAGUUAGAUAUGAACUCUCCUUGCACAGAGCCUUGCUUUCCCACAAGGCAAGGAAAAAACGUAGUUACUUGUGCUUUGAGAGCUUAGUAUUUAUCAGUACAAAAGAAAUAUUUCUUUGUUACUUGAUCUUCUGUUUAGUUCUUGUUUCAUAGGUAACCUACACUGAAAACUUUGUAGUCAUGACUACUUGAGAAAUACAUAAUAAAACAAAUUUUUAUUUCCAAAUUAUUAAAGAGCCAGCCAUUGACGCUGCUACAUGCAUUCCUUGCUCAAGAGCCAUUGUGAGAGAGAUUAAGGGGUUUUAGGGUUUUUGAUUUUUAGUUUCACUUUUUUCUCCUCUCCCUUUUUUCUCUGUGUGUGUUUGAUAAAACAUGUUAGCAUAAAGUUUUGGGGUGCAUUUUUCAGAAUUCUCAGCAGUUGAGAUUAACUGCUACGCCUAGAUUGCCUCUUGGUAGGCACUUGAAGGAACCUGUGCUCAGGAUAGCACGGUGCUGUGUGCAGGAGUGCGUGUGUGCAUUCAUGCCUUAACUCAGCUACUGCUUAAGUUUACUAUUUGACUUAGUCUGCACUGUCAUCUAGAUUGUUCCGUACAUCUCAGUCUGAACUUCAUCCUGGCAAAAACAAAGUUGAAAACACAACAUGUUAAGAAUAAUACAUUCCUCUGAAAAAGAAUGUGGUCAGAUUGACCUUGAAUUAUUUUUGGUCUUUAUUUAGAACUUAGCUUUAAAAAGCAAAAGUGGACUGUCAAAAGGGAAGAGGUCAACAGGGGAAAGAGGAGAGCCAGCUGGCAUGCCUUUUCCCUCUCCAUAUCCAUGCACAUACCAUGAUGCUUGAGGCGGCUUGUCUACAAUUUGAUUACAUUGGGAUUCUGGUAAUAGUGGCAAUCUUGACUUCCCGGACGGAGUUUAGAAAGAUGUAAGACUUCCAGUUAAUGUCUUAUUUACUUUAUGUUUAUUAGUCUUUGAUACGUGUGUUGAAUCAGAAACCUAAAUAAAGAUAAUCUUUUAAAAUGUA